AGUCUUAUAGUCAAUAAUGAUAUAAAAUUGCAAAUUUUAAGGAGUAAGUUAAGUAAUACUAAGGCUU
rnacentral:tRNA from 1 species